GGAUGUAAGGAUGAUCUGACUGUGACACCUGUCACCUCAUGGGUCACCUGGGUUGAUUUGGUAGAUCUGGUUGACUAGGCAGGUGUCCCUUUCCUCUUUCACCACUCUAUGUGUGUCCCUCUCAAAGCUGUGUGCUUGGAUGAGGAGGACAACCUUCCCAGAUAGAGGGAGACCAUUCUUUGGCCAAAGGUAUAUGAGUAGCUACACUUCUGUGCUAGAACCUCCAAGCAAGCUCUCAAGAUUGACGUUCAUGGGUGCUGCAUUUAGCACAACUCCUUCCAGGAUCUCACGUCACUGCAUUUGGGAAAUUCCU
rnacentral:snRNA from 1 species